CACGUAGGGGGCAAGCGUUGUCCGGAUUUAUUGGGCGUAAAGAGCGUGUAGGCGGCUUUACAGGUCCGUUGUGAAAACUCGAGGCUCAACCUCGAGACGCCGGUGGAAACCGUAAGGCUAGAGUCCGGAAGAGGAGAGUGGAAUUCCUGGUGUAGCGGUGAAAUGCGCAGAUAUCAGGAGGAACACCCGUGGCGAAAGCGGCUCUCUGGGACGGUACUGACGCUGAGGUGCGAAAGCGUGGGGAGCAAACAGG
rnacentral:rRNA from 1 species